rnacentral:rRNA from 1 species
UACGGGGGGGGCAAGCGUUGUUCGGAAUUACUGGGCGUAAAGGGCUCGUAGGCGGCCAACUAAGUCGGAUGUGAAAUCCCCAGGCUUAACCUGGGAACUGCAUCCGAUACUGGAUGGCUUGAAUCCGGGAGAGGGAUGCAGAAUUCCAGGUGUAGCGGUGAAAUGCGUAGAUAUCUGGAGGAAUACCGGUGGCGAAGGCGGCAUCCUGGACCAUUACUGACGCUGAGGCGCGAAAGCUAGGGGAGCAAACGAG